GAAACGACUGCUAAGACUGGAUAGGAGACAAGAAGGCAUCUUCUUGUUUUUAAAGGACCUAGCAAUAGGUAUGCUUAGGGAGGAGCUUGCGUCACAUUAGUUAGUUGGUGGGGUAAAGGCCUACCAAGACUAUGAUGUGUAGCCGGGCUGAGAGGUUGAACGGCCACAUUGGGACUGAGACACGGCCCAAACUCCUACGGGAGGCAGCAGUAGGGAAUUUUCGGCAAUGGAGGAAACUCCGACCGAGCAACGCCGCGUGAGCGAUGAAGUAUUUCGGUACGUAAAGUUCUUUUAUUAGGGAAGAAUAAAUGAUGGAAAAAUCAUUCUGACGGUACCUAAUGAAUAAGCCCCGGCUAACUAUGUGCCAGCAGCCGCGGUAAUACAUAGGGGGCAAGCGUUAUCCGGAAUUAUUGGGCGUAAAGGGUGCGUAGGCGGUUAAAUAAGUUUAUGGUCUAAGUGCAAUGCUCAACAUUGUGAUGCUAUAAAAACUGUUUAGCUAGAGUAAGAUAGAGGCAAGUGGAAUUCCAUGUGUAGUGGUAAAAUGCGUAAAUAUAUGGAGGAACACCAGUAGCGAAGGCGGCUUGCUGGGUCUUUACUGACGCUGAGGCACGAAAGCGUGGGGAGCAAACAGGAUUAGAUACCCUGGUAGUCCACGCCGUAAACGAUGAGUACUAAACGUUGGUUAAAACCAGUGUUGAAGUUAACACAUUAAGUACUCCGCCUGAGUAGUACGUACGCAAGUAUGAAACUUAAAGGAAUUGACGGGACUCCGCACAAGCGGUGGAUCAUGUUGUUUAAUUCGAAGGUACCCGAAAACCUCACCAGGUCUUGACAUGCUUCUGCAAAGCUGCAGAAACACAGUGGAGGUUAUCAGUUGCACAGGUGGUGCAUGGUUGUCGUCAGCUCGUGUCGUGAGAUGUUGGGUUAAGUCCCGCAACGAGCGCAACCCUUAUUGUUAGUUACCAGCACGUAAUGGUGGGGACUUUAGCAAGACUGCCAGUGAUAAAUUGGAGGAAGGUGGGGACGACGUCAAAUCAUCAUGCCCCUUAUGACCUGGGCUACAAACGUGAUACAAUGGCUGUUACAAAGGGUAGCUGAAGCGCAAGUUUUUGGCGAAUCUCAAAAAAAUAGUCUCAGUUCGGAUUGAAGUCUGCAACUCGACUUCAUGAAGUUGGAAUCGCUAGUAAUCGCGAAUCAGCAUGUCGCGGUGAAUACGUUCUCGGGGUUUGUACACACCGCCCGUCA
rnacentral:rRNA from 1 species